GAUGAACGCUAGCUACAGGCUUAACACAUGCAAGUCGAGGGGAAACGACAUCGAAAGCUUGCUUUUGGUGGGCGUCGACCGGCGCACGGGUGAGUAACGCGUAUCCAACCUGCCCACCACUUGGGGAUAACCUUGCGAAAGUAAGACUAAUACCCAAUGAUAUCCCACGAAGGCAUCCGAAUGGGAUUAAAGAUUUAUCGGUGAUGGAUGGGGAUGCGUCUGAUUAGCUUGUUGGCGGGGUAACGGCCCACCAAGGCUACGAUCAGUAGGGGUUCUGAGAGGAAGGUCCCCCACAUUGGAACUGAGACACGGUCCAAAACUCCUACGGGAGGCAGCAGUGAGGAAUAUUGGUCAAUGGGCGAGAGCCUGAACCAGCCAAGUAGCGUGCAGGAUGACGGCCCUAUGGGUUGUAAACUGCUUUUAUAAGGGAAUAAAGUGGGUCUCGUGAGACUUUUUGCAUGUACCUUAUGAAUAAGGACCGGCUAAUUCCGUG
rnacentral:rRNA from 1 species